UCUUAAAUUGAGGAGGAGUUGCUUCUCAUGGAUGAGCAAAGAAGGUGAUUUCUUGAGAUGGAAGCUAUUCCUGGUGAAGAUGCUGUGAACACUGCUGAAAUGACAACAAAGGAUUUUGAUUAUUAC